CAGAAUUAAGUAUAGCUGCAAACCUGCUAUGUGUGUGCAUUUUUUUGAUGGAAAUCACCCACUAGGCUGUAGCAUAUGUAUGGCUGAGUAAUAGCUUCUUCUGUGCUGAGCUGGCUGCGGCUCAUCGUUCGCUGCACAUUCACUCCGUGUUAAAGGCCAGACCCUGCUUCAUUACACAGUGUCUUAACCUUGUUUUGCCCUUCUAUCCAAUGACAGCUGCUUUGUUUCCUUUCGCUAGCAGUCAAACAUCACAAAUUCCUUCUCUGUAAAGCCAUUAAAAGAGAACCAACACCACCCCAAGUGGUUUCAGGACUAACUGAUUUAGAUGCUGGAGUCUGUUGCAGGGCCAAAAAUAACUCCCCAUUUCUUUCUCCUUCAUUGGUGAAAGGAGAAGAGAAAGUGGCCAAUGACAGAGACACAACUUCCCCGUAGGCACCAGAGACAAAUCUAUUUCAUAGCAGGAAAAAAAAAUAAUGCUCCUGAAAAAUGUUUCUUUGCUCGGGCCAAUAGACACAGAACCGCUGCAUGUAAUUUUGCUGAACCGAUGGUAUCACUUGAAUGGCUCACGGACUACAUAAAAUGCAUUACAUAAUUAUAUUUUUAAACACUGUCCCCAGCUGUGCUGAUGCACACAAAAGCUGUGUUUACAAUGGACUCUGCACAUGUAAUUAUUUUGUGGCACUAGCUCCGCGCAUUUCCUUGAUGGAUGCUCCAUGGUGCAUAAAAUUGUAGCUUUUAUCAAAGAUUCUUGGAUGUAUUCUUUGGCUGUUUCAGCUUUAAACACCCAGCUGUCCUCACAUGGGUGUGCAGGCCUGAUGCCUGGGAGGGGUAAGUUAUAGCAUCUGGGGAACACCUUGCUCUGGGAGCUGCGGGGGGGGACGGUGAUCAGCUGGAAGCAUGCUGAGCAGCAGAGCCUGCUGCUCCUCUCAGGGAGGUUUGCUGCGCUGUUCCUUGGGAUGUGGCACCUGCUCUGCUCCUAUUUGUCUUGCACAUCUUCAUCCUAGCCCCAUUAAGGCUGCAGCAACCCGACCCAGCCACUUUGCAGCACAGGGGGGCGAGGUGGUGCCUUGCAUCUGUGCAGGUGCAGGAGAGAAGGGGCUGCAGGCUGUGGUUGCAAAGUCAAACAGCGUGGCUUGCAGGGUACCAGACCCAAAGAUCAGCUUUGGUUUGUAUUCUGUUCCAUUUGCAUACAGAAAGCUCCCUUGGCUGUUCUCCAUCCUGUUCUGGAAUACCGAGUGUUUCUCCAUCUGAACGCAGUGGCUGAUGUGUGGGACUCAGCGAAGAGGACAGUGGGAUAUUUAUCUUAGAUCUGUUCCAGUGCUCUUGAGUAUUAAUAUCACUGUGAAAACCUAGAUGCUGGAAGGAUCGGUACGCAUCACGGUCCAAGAGUUUUGCCUGCCAAGCAGUAAAGCUUGGAAAUAAAUAAAGACAAAAAGUAAUAGUCCUGAGCAUCGGUUUCAAAGUAAUGGGAUAGCAGCACUGCUGGUAGCGACCUUUUUAUUACUAUCACUGCAGAGAACUGGCGGAUUUUUCUUGUCAAUAAGCAAGAUGGCUUGGCACCGUAUCUCUCAUCCCUUGGGUACGAGACUCCACAGAGGAAAUGCUGAUGUUGUCGUGAGCCAAUUUUUAAUAGCAGGUGUUUGGUUGGAACUCCAGCCUGCCUUGUGGCAGCAGGGAGUGCGAGUCCUUCUGUUACCAUUCCUUGCUCUUUUCAGCCCUGCGUUUGACUGUGGAAGCUGAGAGCCUGGGGGAAGUUGCGCCAUGUAAAGCAGUCAUUGCUCAAUAGUGAAUGAGUUAUUCCACAGCAAAUGGUCUGGCUGCUGGUACACCAAGUUUUCCACUCUCACAUGAAUACAGUCAUUUCCCAUCAUGGAAACUGUGUGGCUAUGGAUGCCCUUAGCAUUCCCCCUGUCUGGCAUGUUAAGUUUACAUACCAGCUUUGAGGCUGCUGGUGCGUUUUGCACCAAAGGGUCAGGCGAUGGAGGAAGAAUCUCUGGAGUGGAAAAAAUGUGGAACUGCAGAAGUUUAUUGUAUGUUUGUUUGCAUAGCCUGCCUUCCAGAUAAAUCGCAUCUCUCCUAGUACAGCAGCACUGGAAAAAGAGCCCUUGGAUGACCCACUUGGAGUCUGAGACACCAGAGGGGCUACUUCAGAAAAGAAAGCAGAGGAAGGCGCCAGAAGCCAUGCAGAAGAAACACAUCUGGAGUAAGCAGUGCUUUGUGUUGUCCACGUGUGUGCACGUGCUGCAUCUGGAUCACAAGCCAUUGUUAUUUUAUUGGGGAUAGUGUGUCUUGUACAUAUACGGAGUGCAUUUUUCACCCUGCAUGCUUCUUACUAAGGCAUAACGUAUUACUUUCUCAAGGGCCCAUUUCCUACUGCUCCCUUUAUCUUCCCUUAGGGAGCCCCACUAGAGUCCAUCAGCCACCUAGGCCAAAAAUAUGUUUUUCAAAUGCCUGAUCAUCUAAUACCAAUCAGCAUAAUUCCACCUGCUUUGAUAAAGCUGUGACUUAAGCCAGUGAAGAUCAAACUCCUUGAUAUUUAAUGCAACAUAGAUAAGCUCAAAAACUUGUGAGCAAGGAAUAUUUCUAGGUGUAACACGUUUCUGCCAUUACUCCACGAUAUUAGCUGCAGUUUCUUGCUGCAGAUGCUUGUUCAAGGCUCAUGUUUAUCUUUAGAGAAGAUGGAAAUAGGAGUUGCCUGUCUUUUGCAAAAUGCUGAUGCUGUGUACAAGCAGAAGUAAGAAUUCACGCAGAAGUGAAGACAAGUCUUGCAGUUCAACAGGAAGAAAACAGAUGUCUUUAGACUGCUGUUUGAACCUUGACCAUUGCCCUUUUGUACCUCUGAGUCACCAGAGGCUUCUGUUUCCAAAAACAAGAUAAUGCCUUGAAGAGCCAAAGUUCAGUGUAAAUUAUGUCACGACUAUAGGAGCUGAGGUGUCAUCUUUGCUGCAGCGAUUCCCUCUUGGAAAUGUUCGAUAAAGCGUGGAAGAAAGUGGCACUGACUCGAUAUAUCUCUGGAGCACUGCAAGUCCAUUCCUGCCAUACUACUAACUGAGGGAAGCGUUUUCUUUUUUUAAUUCCACAAAGCUCUAUAACUGUAUUAUCCAAGCAGCUAAGCACUCAGAUUACGUAAGCUGAACAUAAUAGGAGGUCUGUAAAACUUUGCUGCUCACAGUCUUGGAAAUUUCUACAUUGCUAUUUAAUGGUGACUCAGCUGCAGAUCUCCCAGAUGAUCUCGGAGGACACAUGAUGGGGUUCCGUCUUUGGGAGAGCAGAAUGUGGCCCUCAAGUAUGGCCGCGGCUGGGGCCUUGCUCGCCUGUGCACCCUCAGCUGCUCUGAGAGGUCUUGAGCUGCUGAUCAGCAGAUACUCACUGCCACACCUUCCGGUUCUGUCCUUCUAGGAAUGUUUACCUUGUGUUUUCAAAGCAAUCCACCUCCUGAUUUGCACAGCAGGAGAAUUUAACUGUCGUGCCAGAUAGCAACCUCAAAAUGUACUUUUACGGUCUGUUUCUUCUAAAGGAUAUUUUUGGCUGUAUAAGUGAUGUUUUAAGAAUAAUUUGACUAAGCACUAUUUUUAUGACAUGUAUAGCUUCAUAGCGCAUUACUAACCAUAUGGCCAAACACAGUGCCUGAAGUUACAUGGCAGGGUUUACUGCCCAGUCGGAAUGAAAAACAUCUAUUUUUGAAUGGCUGUGUAUUGGGGGGAAAAACAUGAGUCUUAUGGGAAGCAGCUGAAGGAACUGGGAUUGUUGAGUCUGGAGUAGAGGAGGCUCAGGGGAGAUCUUAUUGCUCUCUACAGCUGCCUGAAAGGAGGUUGUGAUGAGGUAGGUGUUGGCCUCUUCUCCCAGGUAACAGCAAGUGAUAGGACAAGAGGGAAUGGCUUCAAUUUGAGUCAGGGGAGUUUCGGUUGGGGUAUUAGGAAAAACUUCUUCACAGAAAGAGUGGUCAAGCCUUGGGACAGGCUGUCCAGGGAGGUGGAGCAGUCACUGGCCCUGGAGGUGUUGAAGGAAGGGGAAGAUGUUGUACUAAGGGACAUGGUUUAGUGGGAAAUAUUGGUGGAAGAUGGACGGUUGGACUAGAUGAUCUUAGAGGUCUUUUCCAACUCUAAUGAUUCUGUGAUUCUAUGAUUAUAUUUAAAAGUCACAACCUUGUGACCUUUCUUGGUUUUCUUGGUUUUCCCUUGGUCUUGAAUAAGGCUCAUCAUCGUAUCUUACCUAGAUCUUAUCUUGGCAGUGGUAAGAGCUCAUGAGGCCAGAUGGCUCAUGGAAUGACUGGUGAGGGCUUUGUGGUGAAACUAUGUCAACUGUGACUGAAGUUUAUCAUUGGCAUUAUUUGACAGUGUAGGGUAUGUGAGCCCAGCUUGCUGUAGAGAUGUGUCUUCAAUGUGAAAUCCACUGACUCAGUUUGUAUCAGUUAGUGUUGGGCAGAAACACCAAGCACUGAUGUGGCACAGUGAUGAACUGCGCUCAGAUGUAGCCUCUCUGGAUUAGAGCUGGGCUGUUCCAUGAGGCCAAUGAUGUUUCCAUUACUUUGUGUUUUCCUCUUCUGCAGACAAAUCAUUCCAGCCAGAUGCAUGCACACACUGGGAUGUUCAUGCAGAAACACAGACUGGUUCUCCCAGGAGCAGGCCCAACUACUCAGUUGGGACUGCCUUACUAACUGAGGCGUAACAGUAGUUAGGUGGGCCUCGAUGCAAAUGUCGCAGGGGGUUUCCCUGCAUGUUUCCAAUGUAUGACUCUACUGAAAUAUCCUCCUUCAGCUUGCUUGGUCACCAUCCCUGGCAUCUGCAAUGCUUUGUGGGUAGCUUUACUGUUCUCGUAAUACCAGCAGCUCUUGUACAAUCUCAAAUCAGCAGUUGUUCUCUUAAGUCAACGCAGGUUUCACCUAUCAUAUUGACUCAGUAGCACACUGCAAAAUUCACCUACUCCCUUAUUCUGCCAAUGAUCACAUCCUAUUACCUGUAAAGCGAUGAUCAACUUCCCCAUUUCUGCCAUAAAACGUAAUUUCCUGUGAGAAAGAACAAGCUCCACCUUCAGAGGGUUGCAAAUGAAACAGGGUGUGUUCAGGGGGUAGGAAGGGGACAUUUGCUGGUUUUGCUCUCGGGAGCCAGGAGACAAAGUGGGGAUCAGGGAAGUCAAGAGCUUUAGCCCUGGCUUUGGUAACGAUUUUCUGUAUGGCCUUUUGUGAGCUCUUUCACGUCUCCUCGUUCUGCCCAAGCCUAAAAUGGAGCUCAGAAUCGUCACUUUUCUCACACCUCCCCCUCCCCACACACGGAGGGAGUUGUGAGCAGGUUUAAUGUUUAUCUCGGAGGCUUUGAACGGUAUCAUCCAUCCAGGGAAUGUAUGCGGGCAUUCAGACCCCACAGUGAGCUUUAUAAAAUCGUCAAGAAAUAAAAAGGCAUCUAUAUUAAUCAUAAAUCAAGGACUGGAACAGAACACUUGGUUAACAAACCUGCGAAACAAGCUUUGUUUCAUUGGCUUGCGCUGCUUUAUGGUUCUGUUUGUGUAUGUGGAAGUGAUGUUCAGUAUUUUUAAAUGAGUCACAGGACUGGAAGAACAAAAAUAUUGGAUGGUAACAUAUAGCAGCAAAACAAUUACUCUUUUCAUUCUGACAAGCACAAUAACCAGAAUAGCUAGUUAGAGCUGGAGGUCUGGGCACAGAGCUCCUUUCGAUCUACCAGAGAUUUUCGAUCUACUUGCAAGACAGGCAAGCAGAACUGAAAUGUUAUAAUGAUAAAAGAUAGCAUUAGGUCAAACAAUAAAAUCAAGCAUGCCGUUGGGGUAUGGGUAUUUACAGGCAGGAAGGCUCUCCCGAUCAGUGCUGCAUGCAGAAUGCUCCCACAGCCAGCCUCGUCUAGCAGCUUUCUGUACCUUUAUCCAGAGGAGACUCCUUUCCACCCUGCUUGCUGCAUUGCACCACUGAUUUAGUGAAGACAUCAUCCUCAUAAGGAUGCUCUUCUAACUCACCUCUGAAAUCUGCUUGCUUUUCUCCUCUGACAAUUAGGUUUAAAUGUGCUGCAGCAAAGUACUCAUCCUUAACAGUCGUAUGGCUUUUUAAGUGAUAAACUGCAUUAGCAAAUUCCUUAUUAGAUAAUCUAUCAAAUGAGGUCAUACGUAAUUUUAGCAGUCUCAUCUUGAUUUAUAACACGAUCGCAGCAAAUUACGCAUAGGAGAGCAGCGUGCUGGCUGUCACACUCAGGUGCUCUCACUGUGCUGGGACAGCAGUGCCCAGGCUGGCCGGCAGCUGGCAGCCCUCCCUGUUGCCACAGCGGGACCCAGCUGACUUAGAGCCCUGGGGCUCAGCCCUGGCUUUCUUGGGACCCAUAGGACGUCGAGGCAGGUGUCUAAGCCCUUGCUCCAAACCUCCUAGCAGUAGUCCUUUGUGGUGUUCGUUCUGACAGGCUUUCCCCUUAAAUAGGGGCAUCAGCUCUCCAAAAAGCCAGCUGAUGGGUGGGGUGCCUGCCUGCAGCCUGGCUGCCCGCCAGCCAAAGCCCAAGUGAUGAAAUCCAGGGGGAAAGGGAGGGGAAACACCGCUUCAGAAGGACGCUGUGCUGCUGCUGCUGCUGCUGCUGCUGCAGAUCCUCCAUCCCCACAGUGGAGUUGCUCCCGGGACCGGGAGGAGACGCAAUUCCUAUCCCCCAGCUGCAAACUUCUUCCACAAACAUUAUUUUAUCCUUUGAGAUUUAUCUGUAACUCCCGCAGGGGGAGCUGCAAUAAAUUAUCUGGCCUCGCCCUUCUCCUCACCUGCUCUCACCUCACGUUGGUAUUUCUGGGGUCUGAGCUGUGCUGAGCCUCGAGGGCUCGUGUCAUCUGCAUGUCUCAGAAUAACUUAUGUCUCUCCCUCUGUACUUACGGCCAAACCCUGCCCGGGAAGGACAAAAGAGGAUGGAACGAGAUUUAUCCCUCGGCAUUGUAGGUAUCUGCCCCUAAGCUGUAAAAUAAAAGCUGAAUAAGAAUCUUGAUAACCAUUUCCUUGGGCAAUAUCAAAUAGAGGCCUAGCUAUCGCUGCAGGAAAACUUCUGGAAACUCUGAGUAGGCAGAACACCGCACUGCUUUUGGAGGAACGUUCCUGGAGUGAGGGACUGGAGAAAUCAAAGCAGUUCAUCGAGAAGAGUAAGCAAAGGGAACGCUUGCUGUGGAUGGCACUGCUGUUUUGCACACCCUAAGCUGUGUAUGGCAGAUUGCAGCAGAGCCUGGGGAAGGCAAUUAAAGACCCAGAUGAAGACCAGAACAUCAGACGUCCCUCUGGAGCCCACGUGCCCGAACUGCCGUUCCUCCCCACCCUAAUAUAAACAGCGGGGCAAAAGGGCUCAUUUCUCAGCUGCCACUGAGCAGCGUCGGCUGACGGCAGCGCCGGGACCCCCAGAGCCCUGCCCGGACCCCAGGAGGGGCCCGACCUCUCAGCCCUGCUCCCCGCAGGCAUGGGGGGCACAGCUCCAUCUCCGUGCCUGGCAGCGACGUGCCCACGGGCCCCCAGCAGCGAGCAGCCCGGGUUGGACGCUCGUGCUGCAGACCUGCCUCUGCAGAGGUGUUUGCAGCCAUUGGCACGGGCGCUGCAGAGCCGUUGCCUGGCAGCACGCGCGUCCUCUUCCCCGUGACGAGCGCUGAGCAUCGUCUCCAUCGACCCGACCGCCUCCCAGGCUUCAGCUCCCUGCCCGGGAUAGAGAGCCAAAGGCAGCCGGCGUGCGGGAUGCGGAGACCCUUGCGCUAAACCUCACAGGCUUGAAGGCUCAAGCUGCACGAGGGCAGGCAGGAGCUGCUCUCUUCUCACUGACCGUUUGCCACGACAUGAGAAUGAACAUCGUGCAACCAGCGACCUACAGCUACAGCUCUGUUCUCCGCAGCAUCCCCACCUUGAGCAGUGGCAGUGGCACAGCAAAGCCGGGCAAACCAAGAGGGGCAGGGACCAGCUGCAGGGAGGUGCAGGGAGGCAGCACGGAAGUUCACCCACCUUCAGCUUUCAUCCUGUUGCCAGAGCUGGCAGCUGUUAUCCUGGUUGCCAAUCUUCCUGUCCAGCUGUACAUCCUCCAGCCUGAAAACAUCUUCUUCAGCCUCUCAAGGAGAACAGAAACAGAUCCAUAGUCUCUUGGUGGAGAUGAUUUUGCAGGGCUGUGAUCCAAGCCAGAAGGCUGAGCAGGAGUCCACUUUCCAUGCACAAGCUACCACCGCAGAAAUGAUGUGCAAAAUGGCUCUUUUACUCUUCACUCAAGGCUUUUAAGGACAUUUGCAGACCUUGUACGCAGUGGGAAAGAGGCAGAGGAGGAGAGUGACUGGGCAGCCCUCCCUUCUUUCCAAGUGGAAGCGGCCUAGCAGGCUGUUUUUAUCUCCAGGACUCUUCCUGAAGGAUGUGCUGAAUUAAUGCCCCAAGCAGGAGUGCAGCUGAAGGCUCACCGUGCCCUACAGAGAAGUGACAACACAGCUGCGGGUGGCAGGAUCCCUCCCUUGGUCUUUGUGCCCUUCAGUGGUGGACGAAGGCUCCAGCGAGGUGUUUGCAGCCUACAGAGGCCAUGAGCCCGGUGCCUCUGCCUGUUGGUUCACCAAGCGAAGGCAACAGAGUCAAAGUAGCAGAAGGCCUGUGCACGAUGGGGCUGUGAUACUGGCCUGGGUGAGCAGCUAGCACUAAUUUGAGCAGCCCAAAGGUCACGACUAUUUAUGCAGAUAAAAGGUCAGUGGCAAGCUGGCAGGUGGCUGUGGGCUAUCUUGGUACGCGCUGCGCCCCGGGCGCUGAUGUCUGCGUCUGGUUCACAGUUAGUUUGUCUUUCCACAUGGACUUUCAGGCCAGGUUCUGGCUGAAAUAAAACACAACGGGGAAAGAAAUCUCUGGUCGUGUGAGUUGAUGCUGUUGGGAGACAGCUGCAGUUUUUGUGGCUUGGGCUCAUCUGUAGCUAAAUCAAACCUUUGAAUCAUUAUUUAUAAAAGACAGCCAAAUUCUGAACCGUUUGCUCAGUGUUUAGUCAGCUCUUACAUGGACAAACUCCUGUGAAAGCGUGCGUGAUGGCAGAUAAGGGAAAAACUGAAUCAGGUGCCCUGUUGAGAGGCAGCAUGUCUGGCCAGGAACUCCAGCAGCAGUGGGCGUCUGCACUGCAGGUGCCUGGGAAGAAGUCACCUCAGAGGGGCAGGACCUUACAGCACGGCCUGAAUUGCCAGAGCAGGUUCAGGUUAGCUGAAACAACAUCUAGGUGGGCGAAAAAGGGAAGCAAGUACACUAUGUUUAGUCCAGUCAGAUUCUAUGCUAUGUUUGAAACUUUUAUAGUCAGUCAGUACCAGUGCCGCAUCCUUUGCUCUCAUUAGAAAGCAAAAAUGUUUUCAACCUUUGGUUCCAGGAGUUGUCUGUCUGCCUAUACCAAUUUUAAACAAAAUCCUUUAAUGUUCUCCUGUAAUUUGGUCCAAUACAGCCUGGUCUCCAAGACAAAAUAUGCAAAAUAUUUUGUGACAUUUCAUUCCCCAAACAAAAGGUAAUGGGAAAACAUCAUUAUAUUGAUUUGUUUUUCAUCACAGAGGUAUUUGGCAGCAUGCCCUAAUUAAGGUUGUAGCAAUAAUUUUAUUAUAAGCACUGCUUUGCCUCCCCUGGUAAUUUUUUAAUAGGAGUUAGCUAUUAGUCUGUUAUUUUGGUUUGCUAAUAAAGAAAAAAAUAUGUUACAAUGGAAACCUCCCAUGUAGAAAGCAACCAAAGCUAGUUGUCUUCAGACCUGGAAAAGCAUUUCUUUUUUUCUGUCUUCCCAUUGGAAUGGAUGACCACUAAAUUCUUCCCUGACUGCUGUCUUCCUAGGCCUGCCCCCACACCCAGGGAAGUUUAAGCAGUGACUUGAGCACCACCUGCUAGGAUGUGUUUUGUCAAGACUGAUAUCUCUAUUAUACCCUUUCUUCACUUCAUAUUUGGCGGACUUGGCUAUAGGCAAACUGAAAUGAAUCUGCAGCAGUGGCAUAGUCUGAUAGGUGAAACAGACUAAUUUGUAUGUGUUUUCCCACUGAAAAUGGCAAAAUUCCAGCCACUGAACGUUCACGAGUAUUCUGCUCAUUGUGUUCAUCAAGCCAAAGAGUCUCCACAGGACAUUAGGGUUUGACCCGAUGUCCGCAGACACGCUGCACACAACCCAAGUGUGAUGGCACACUGGGUGGCCAUGCAGGACUUCCCUUCGAUGGAGCCUUCUGGCCCACCAGUGGGAGUGCAGGUGACUCCUGCAGACUUUCUCUCAAAUCUCUUUGGAGGAAAUUAAAAUAAGCCUUUGCAGAAACUGGAGAAAUCGGAAUGCACCCAGCCAUUUUCUGGAUUUAAUGCUACCUCUUGUGUUAUUGUCUUCAGUCUCUGAAAAACAGAACUGUCCAGUAGAUAAUGACUGUUAGAUUACUAAUUAGCACAUUUCUGUUAUCUUGGAGCAAAUACAUUUUUUAUGCUUUCCCUCCUAUUAAAGUAUUUCAGAAAACAAAACAGAAAAAGCAAAAUCUAAUUCAUAAUCGAGUGUUAUGGGCCAUCAAUUCUUGUAUUUCAAGAAUAUAGGCUGGAAAGGGGAACGUCUGCUGCUCCUGCCCAGGGUACCCUCCCACAUUCUGCAUCUCCAAGGAGAGACUGUUCCAGCAGGAUGAGCUGGUAUAGCGAG
ensembl:lncRNA